GCCUCAGUAACGGCGAGUGAAGCGGCAACAGCUCAAAUUUGAAAGCUGGCUCUUGCAGAGCCCGCGUUGUAAUUUGUAGAGGAUGCUUCAGGCGCGGCGCUGGUCUAAGUUCUUUGGAACAAGACGUCAUAGAGGGUGAGAAUCCCGUAUGUGACUAGCUGCCUGUGCCUGUGUGAAGCUCCUUCGACGAGUCGAGUUGUUUGGGAAUGCAGCUCAAAAUGGGUGGUGUACUUCAUCUAAAGCUAAAUAUUGGCCAGAGACCGAUAGCGCACAAGUAGAGUGAUCGAAAGAUGAAAAGCACUUUGGAAAGAGAGUUAAACAGUACGUGAAAUUGUUGAAAGGGAAGCGCUUGCAAUCAGACUUGCGCGGCGUCGAUCAGCCUGGGUUCUCCCUGGUGCACUCGGCGCUGCUCAGGCCAGCAUCAGUUUCAGCGGUUGGAUAAAGGCCUAGGGAACGUGGGUUACUUCGGUGACUGUUAUAGCCCUAGGUGCAAUGCAGCCUGUUGGGACUGAGGACCGCGCUUCGGCUAGGAUGCUGGCGUAAUGGUUGUAAGCGACCCGUCUUGAAACACGGACCAAGGAGUCUAACAUCUAUGCGAGUUUUUGGGUGUUAAACCCAUAAGCGUAAUGAAAGUGAACGGAGGUGAGAACCCUUAAGGGUGCAUCAUCGACCGAUCCUGAUGUCUUCGGAUGGAUUUGAGUAAGAGCAUAACUGUUGGGACCCGAAAGAUGGUGAUCUAUACUUGAAUAGGGUGAAGCCAGAGGAAACUCUGGUGGAGGCUCGCAGCGGUUCUGACGUGCAAAUCGAUCGUCAAAUUUGAGUAUAGGGGCGAAAGACUAAUCGAA
rnacentral:rRNA from 2 species